rnacentral:rRNA from 1 species
UACGGGAGGCAGCAGUAGGGAAUCUUCCGCAAUGGACGAAAGUCUGACGGAGCAACGCCGCGUGAACGAUGAAGGCUUUCGGGUCGUAAAGUUCUGUUGUUAGGGAGACAAGUACCGGAGUAACUGCCGGUACCUUGACGGUACCUAACCAGAAAGCCACGGCUAACUACGUGCCAGCAGCCGCGGUAAUACGUAGGUGGCAAGCGUUGUCCGGAAUUAUUGGGCGUAAAGCGCGCGCAGGCGGUCCUUUAAGUCUGAUGUGAAAGCCCACGGCUCAACCGUGGAGGGUCAUUGGAAACUGGGGGACUUGAGUGCAGAAGAGGAGAGUGGAAUUCCACGUGUAGCGGUGAAAUGCGUAGAGAUGUGGAGGAACACCAGUGGCGAAGGCGACUCUCUGGUCUGUAACUGACGCUGAGGCGCGAAAGCGUGGGGAGCGAACAGGGAUUAGAUACC